rnacentral:rRNA from 1 species
GAUGAACGCUAGCGGCAGGCCUAACACAUGCAAGUCGAGGGGUAACUAGAGUGAUAGCAAUAUUACUUUGGCUAGACCGGCGCACGGGUGCGUAACACGUAUGCAACCUACCUUAUACUGGGGAAUAACUUCGAGAAAUCGGCGCUAAUACCCCAUAACAUUGCGAAGAGGCAUCUCUUUGCAAUUAAAGCUCCGGCGGUAUAAGAUGGGCAUGCGUCCAAUUAGCUAGUUGGGGAGGUAACGGCUCACCAAGGCUACGAUUGGUAGGGGUUCUGAGAGGAGGAUCCCCCACACUGGUACUGAGACACGGACCAGACUCCUACGGGAGGCAGCAGUGAGGAAUAUUGCGCAAUGGACGAAAGUCUGACGCAGCCAUGCCGCGUGCAGGAUGACGGCCCUAUGGGUUGUAAACUGCUUUUGUACGGGAAUAAACCCUUCUACGUGUAGGAGGCUGAAGGUACCGUAAGAAUAAGCACCGGCUAACUCCGUGCCAGCAGCCGCCGUAA